rnacentral:snRNA from 1 species
GGAUAUGAAGAUGCUCUGGCUGUUACACCCAUCGCUCUAUUGAGGGCCAGGGUUGGUAUCACUGAUAUGUAUGGCUAUAGUGGAGGCUCCUCUUUCAUCACCUAGUGUGUGUCUUUCCCAAAGUUGUGUCCUCAUCAUACAUCAAUGUGAGAGGUCAAAGAAGAUGACCUUCCCUGACAGAAGAGAACCAGUCUUGGGCCAAAGGUAUGCAAGCAGCUAGAACCUCAAAAUAACCUCUCAAGAUACACUGUAUACAUACAUGACAUUUUCAAAGAAUAAACAAAAAUAUUAUUU